ensembl:snoRNA
GGUGGUCGGUGUGCACGGUGUUAGUCUGUGUUACGUGCUGUUGUCGGCCUGCGUUUUGCAGACUCGGCAGCAGCGCUCACUCCACACCUGCAGCCAUAGAACGACAGGAGAUCAUAGUACUGGCCUUUGACGUCUUCGUUGACCUCUCACCAUCGGCCAGCCUCCAAACUCUCCAACACGC